CUGCACCUAAUUAAGCCGACUGGGUUACUUUAUUUGUGGUGGCCCAGUGUGCAGUGGCUGCAGACAGCAAUCUCCUAGCCUGUUGCUUGUAUGGGUUGCCUUAAGGGACCUUGGAAACAGCA
ensembl:snoRNA SNORA70 Small nucleolar RNA SNORA70